UAGGGAAUCUUCCACAAUGGACGCAAGUCUGAUGGAGCAACGCCGCGUGAGUGAAGAAGGUUUUCGGACCGUAAAGCUCUGUUGUUGGUGAAGAAGGAUAGAGGUAGUAACUGGCCUUUAUUUGACGGUAAUCAACCAGAAAGUCACGGCUAACUACGUGCCAGCAGCCGCGGUAAUACGUAGGUGGCAAGCGUUGUCCGGAUUUAUUGGGCGUAAAGCGAGCGCAGGCGGAAGAAUAAGUCUGAUGUGAAAGCCCUCGGCUUAACCGAGGAAUUGCAUCGGAAACUGUUUUCUUGAGCGCAGAAGAGGAGAGUAGAACUCCAUGUGUAGCGGUGGAAUGCGUAGAUAUAUGGAAGAAUACCAGUGGCGAAGGCGGCUCUCUGGUCUGCAACUGACGCUGAGGCUCGAAAGCAUGGGUAGCGAACAGGAUUAGAUACCCUGGUAGUCCAUGCCGUAAACGAUGAGUGCUAAGUGUUGGGAGGCUUCCGCCUCUCAGUGCUGCAGCUAACGCAUUAAGCACUCCGCCUGGGGGAGUACGACCGCAAGGUUGAAAC
rnacentral:rRNA from 1 species